rnacentral:rRNA from 1 species
CGGACGGGUGAGUAACGCGUGAGAAUUUGCCUUUAGGAGGGGGACAACAGACAGAAAUGACUGCUAAUACCCCAUAUGCUUUCGAGUAAAAUGGAUUUUUCCGCCUAAAGAGAAGCUUGCGGCUGAUUAGCUUGUUGGUAAGGUAAUGGCUUACCAAGGCGACGAUCAGUAUCUGGUUUGAGAGGAUGAUCAGACACACUGGAACUGAGACACGGUCCAGACUCCUACGGGAGGCAGCAGUGGGGAAUUUUCCGCAAUGGGCGAAAGCCUGACGGAGCAAUCUCGCGUGAGGGAUGAAUGCCUAUGGGUUGUAAACCUCUUUUUUCAGGGAGGAAUAAGUGACGUGUACCUGAAGAAUAAGCAUCGGCUAACUCCGUGCCAGCAGCCGCGGUAAGACGGAGGAUGCAAGUGUUAUCCGGAAUCACUGGGCGUAAAGCGUCUGUAGGUGGUUUAAUAAGUCAACUGUUAAAUCUUGAGGCUCAACCUCAAAACCGCAGUCGAAACUAUUAGACUAGAGUAUAGUAGGGGUAAAGGGAAUUUCCAGUGGAGCGGUGAAAUGCGUAGAGAUUGGAAAGAACACCGAUGGCGAAGGCACUUUACUGGGCUAUUACUAACACUCAGAGACGAAAGCUAGGGUAGCAAAUGGGAUUAGAUACCCCAGUAGUC